GACGAACGCUGGCGGCGUGCUUAACACAUGCAAGUCGAACGGAAAGGCCCCUUUGGGGGUACUCGAGUGGCGAACGGGGGAGUAACACGUGAGUAACCUGCCCUUGACUUCGGGAUAACUUCAGGAAACUGGGGCUAAUACCGGAUAGGAAUCCUUGCUGCAUGGGGGGGGUUGGAAAGCUUCGGCGGUUUUGGAUGGACUCGCGGCUUAUCAGCUUGUUGGUGGGGUAGUGGCUUACCAAGGCUUUGACGGGUCGCCGGCCUGAGAGGGGGACCGGCCACAUUGGGACUGAGAUACGGCCCAGACUCCUACGGGAGGCAGCAGUGGGAAUAUUGCACAAUGGGCGGAAGCCUGAUGCAGCAACGCCGCGUGCGGGAGGACGGCCUUCGGGUUGUAAACCGGCUUCAGCAGGGGCGAAGCUUGUGGUGACGGUACCUGCAGAAGAAGCACCGGCUAACUACGUG
rnacentral:rRNA from 1 species